rnacentral:rRNA from 1 species
GAUGAACGCUGACAGAAUGCUUAACACAUGCAAGUCGAUGGGGAAGUGGUGCUUGCACCAUGGCAACCAUGGCGGACGGGUGAGUAACGCGUAAGGGACUUACCUGCAGGACUGGGAUAACAGGGGGAAACUCCUGACAAGACCGGAUAAUGUCAUGGAGCUACAUGGCUUUAUGAUGAAAGGAGACGCCUGCGGAGAGCCUUGCGUCCUAUUAGCUAGUUGGUGAGGUAAUGGCUCACCAAGGCGAAGAUAGGUAGCCGGCCUGAGAGGGCGGACGGCCACAAGGGGACUGAGAUACGGCCCUUACUCCUACGGGAGGCAGCAGUGGGGAAUAUUGGACAAUGGGGGCAACCCUGAUCCAGCAAUUCUGUGUGCACGAAGAAGGUUUUCGGAUUGUAAAGUGCUUUCAGCAGGGAAGAAGUAAGUGACGGUACCUGCAGAAGAAGCGACGGCUAAAUACGUG